rnacentral:rRNA from 1 species
UACGUAGGGUGCGAGCGUUAAUCGGAAUUACUGGGCGUAAAGCGUGCGCAGGCGGUUCGUCAAGUCUGAUGUGAAAGCCCCGGGCUCAACCUGGGAACUGCAUUGGAAACUAGCGAGCUUGAGUGUGGCAGAGGGGGGUGGAAUUCCACGUGUAGCAGUGAAAUGCGUAGAGAUGUGGAGGAACACCGAUGGCGAAGGCAGCCCCCUGGGCUAACACUGACGCUCAGGCACGAAAGCGUGGGGAGCAAACAGG